UUGGCUGAAACCAAAGCAGAGGUAUAUUAUUGUUAAUAAUAAAAUUGAAUAAAUUAAUUCCAGCUAAG
rnacentral:tRNA from 1 species